GACGAACGCUGGCGGCAGGCCUAACACAUGCAAGUCGAGCGAGAGGCGGACGGGUGAGUAAUGUAUGGGGACCUGCCCGGUAGAGGGGGAUAACUACUGGAAAAGGUGGCUAAUACCGCAUACUAUCGGAUGAACCCAUAUGGGAUUAGCUAGUAGGUGGGGUAAAGGCUCACCUAGGCGACGCUCCCUAGCUGGUCUGAGAGGAUGCUCAGCCACACUGGGCCGGCGACACGGCCCAGACUCCUACGGGAGGCAGCAGUGGGGAAGAUUGCACAAUGGGCGCAAGCCGGAUGCAGCCAUGCCGCGUGUAUGAAGAAGGCCGUAGGGUUGUAAAGUACUUUCAGCGGGGAGGCGUUACCCGCAGAAGAAGCACCGGCUAACUCCGUGCCAGCCGCCGCGGUAAUAC
rnacentral:rRNA from 1 species